GAAAAAUCUAAAUAUUGUGGGUGUGUAUUCAUUGUCUUGAAGAGAUUUAUCUGAAAUAGAGGCCGAGAAGAAGACCCUUGAAGAGGAAAUAAAAAAAUGCUCGUGAGAGAGAUAGGAGAAGUCUACUACGAGCUGUAAGGCACACUAAAACUUCUUUACUUCUAUAAAUAUGUGUUUUUUAGCUGUUUUAUCUGCACUGGGUAGUUUAGGCUAGUGUUGAAUGACACAAGAAAAAUGACCGCUCGUGGCUUGGAAACAUUAAGAACUAAUCACAGCGUGCAACUUCGUGUACAAAUUUGAUAACACAUGUGAUUAUGUGAAAUCUAGCCGUCUUUGGUAUCUGAAACAACCUUCCGUAUUUAUUGCACAUCCUUCUUAAUAAUUGGAUUGCAAGAUAGAUAUAUAGCAUACGUUGUAUUUCCAAGAUUUAAUAAUUACAAAGGCAUCGAUAAUCUGGAUCCAUGGCUCUUCGUUUUUGCUACCUCUUCGUAGUGUUGAGAAGGUAGUCUCCUUUAAUGGACUUCUAAACGUCCAUUAAAUGCUAUAUAUAUAUCUGCCAGUUAUAGUUGCCAAACUACACUUCUUCAACUUUCUGCAAUUCACUUCCAGAAUGGAAAACUUAGUAGCCAUGGCUCCAUUAUACAUUUUGGGUCGUGAUAUAGCCCCCAUGAACACCACAACGUAGGUAUGAUGUCCCUGAGAGAAGAGGUGCAGCAAGCAUCAAUGCAAAGAAUGUGUAUUCCAGGAUAAUGAGGGGACUAUCAUUCAUGCAAACAUUCCGACAGAUUUUGUUAUUUUGAAGAAAAAUAUACUGCUAUGUUAAAGGUAGGUCACGUGUACUCAAUAAGAAAUUUCUGGUCAUUAGUAACCUCUACACUUACAAGACAAGCCCACACAAAUAUAUGUUGAAGUUCUACUACAAGACAGUGGUUAGAGAGCUAAAUGACAAUGUUUUGCCAAGGCUGAUGUUUCGAUUGCAGUCUUUGUCCUAUUUGAAACAGAAACUGGAUAGAGAUGAAAAAGAGUUGAUUGAUGUAAUUGGAAUGGUAUAUCUCCACAAGAGAAGGUCAUCAAUGGGAAAUCUGCCAGGCUUAUUGACUUUCUACUAGAAGAUACACAGGGUACUCAAAUCAAAUGCACAGUUUGGGACGAUCACGUCUCAAAACUGGAGCCAUUCUACCUGUCUACCAAACAUGAGCCUCUUAUCAUUUUACUACAGUUUUGCAGAGUUAAAGUUGUUCUUAACAGUAACAAUGACUUUGUAAAAUCACUACCAAUGUUGUAUUCUAUUAGCCUAAUAAUUUUUUACCCAAACAGCUGGUGAUAUUAAGAUUUGCAGCAGCUAUGAUGUUACCCAGAUCUACAUCAAUAGUGAUUUCCCAGAGUUUCAAGAAUUUAAAGCGAAGUAUGAUUUUUCCUAACCUCAUCCAUUAAACAUUUGCACACAGAAUUUAAAGAGAGGUAUGUCAUUUGCAAACUGUGGAGCUGUCAAGAGGUCUUUGCUAGAUGAAUUCUCUUCUACCCAAAGUUCCAAGAAGUCUAAGUAGGGGCAUGUGAAUAUGGAAAAAUUGGACUGAAAAUAUUUCAGUCCAAAUUUGAGUGAGGUUUGUGUGGACAAUUGGACACAAAAUUUGCUAAGCAUAAUUUUAAGUGAACAAGUGUUUUUUUGUGGUU